rnacentral:tRNA from 1 species
GGGGAGGUGGCAGAGUGGCUAUUGUGCCGGUCUUGAAAACCGGUGUCCGAGAGGACUCCUGGGUUCGAAUCCCAGCCUUCCCG